rnacentral:rRNA from 1 species
AUUGAACGCUGGCGGCAUGCUUUACACAUGCAAGUCGAACGGCAGCGCGGGCCUCGGCCUGGCUGCGAGUGGCGAACGGGUGAGUAAUGCAUCGGAACGUGCCCAGUAGUGGGGUAUAGCACCGCGAAAGCCGGAUUAAUACCGCAUACGACCUGAUGGUGAAAGCGGGGGACCGUAGGACCUCGCGCUAGUGGAGGGGCCGAGGUCGGGUUAGCUAGUUGGUGGGGUAAAGGCUUACCAAGGCGACGAUCCGUAGCUGGUCUGAGAGGACGAGCAGCCACACUGGGACUGAGCCACGGCCCAGACUCCUACGGGAGGCAGCAGUGGGGAAUUUUGGACAAUGGGGGCAAACCUGAUCCAGCCAUGCCGCGUGCGGGAAGAAGGCCUUCGGGUUGUAAAGCGCUUUUGUUCGGGAAGAAAUGCUCUGGGCUAAUACCCCGGGGGGAUGACGGUACCGGAAGAAUAAGCACCGGCUAACUACGUG